AUCUCUUUGAGGAUAAUGGAGCUGAUAUGGUUGGUGAGAAGCCAUAAGCAGACUGCUUGGCCAUCACUCAUCUACACUGUAGUGGUUAAGGUGAACAACAGUUGUAUGCAGGCCCCAGGCUCUAAUCAGACCUUCUGCCUAACUCUUGGGGCACAAAGCUCAGUACCUGCAGAAGCCUUUUACCCAUCUCAUCUGGGCAUGGGGACAACAUGUCUGCACCCAGGAAGGCUACAGCAGAGUCUGGAUCCAAUGCAGGAUAUCACAUUGCAUUUAGUUGGAGAAGAUGAGGGAGAUGACUAUAAAUCGAAAGAUGUGAUUUCCAGGGAGACUUUGCCUUCAUCAAGUCAGAAAAAGACACCUAGAUCAGUGACUCAUAAGGAUUUAGAAAAUGCAGAUAGCUCAGAGAAGGUAAAACUCUCUGUUCAGAACUUCCAACCCAGUAAUUAUGAAGAUCUUUUCAAAGAUGCUACAGAAAGCUUAGGUAAAGGAGGAAAGAAGGGGAAUAGAUGGAUUGAUUGGCCCAAGAUGGCUAGUUUGCAAGCCAGUGAGAGCAUAUGGGCCACCAGUGGCUCCUUUCUAAGAGACAAGUCGAGCAGUGAGGAUGAAGAGCUUGCAGGGCCAUCGCAGACUGUCCCUCCUCAGCUUUCUGGUAUACAAAUUGUUUCUGAAAGGGAGCUAGCUCAGUUGGCUCAGGUUCGACCAUUAGAAUUCAGUUUUCGUGAGCAAUCAAUCAUCAAGGAUUCUUUUAAAAUGCUUGAGAAAAAAGUAGCAGAAUAUGAAAUCCUCCAGGAAUUUAUGACUUUAGAUUUUAAGAGCCUACCUGGUGCAUUCAACUCUGGAAAUGAACUACGCAACAGAGAUAAAAACAGAUAUCGGGAUAUUCUUCCAUAUGAUUCAACACGCGUUCCUCUUGGAGAAAACAAGGACUACAUCAAUGCUAGCUAUAUUAGAAUAGUCAAUUCUGGAGAAGAAUAUUUUUAUAUUGCUUCUCAAGGACCACUGCCAAGUACCAUAGAUGACUUUUGGCAAAUGGUUUUAGAGAAUAACUCUAAUGUUAUUGUCAUGAUAACCAGAGAGAUAGAAGGUGGAGUUAUCAAAUGCCACCAUUACUGGCCCAUUUCUAUGAAGAAGCCUUUGGAAUUGAAAAACUAUCGUGUCUUCCUGGAGAACUACCAGAUACUCCAAUAUUUCAUCAUCCGAAUACUUCAAGUUGUGAGGAAGUCUACAGGAACUAGUCACUUUGUAAAACAUGUGCAGUUCACCAACUGGCCAGACCAUGGCACUCCUGCCUCUGUAGAUGGCUUCAUAAAGUACGUGCGUUUCGUGCGCAAGAGCCACCUUACAGGACCCAUCCUUGUUCACUGCAGUGCUGGCGUGGGCCGGACGGGAGUGUUCCUAUGUGUGGAUGUUGUGUUCUGUGCCAUUGAGAAGAACUUUCCCAAAUUUUGUCCACCAGAGCUACUCAAGAGUGUAGUCUUGGACCAGCACCAAUCUGUGGAUGUUUGUUUUCUACAAUGUCUAAUUUUCUAGCACCAUUUGUUGAAAAAGCUGUUCUUCCUCCACCAAAUUGCUUUUGCACUUUGUCAAAAAUCACUGGUUCAACAUCAGGAAUAUAGUGGCCCAAAUGAGAGAACAGCGUUAUGGCAUGAUUCAAACAAAGGAGCAGUAUUUCUUUUGUUAUAAAGUUGUGCUUGAAGUUCUUCAGAAGCUUCUGACUUUCGAUUAAGAAAGACUUCUGUUGCCUCACUCUUGAAAUCACCACUGGGCUUGGAGCUGCCUCAUAAAUGUUCCAGCUGUGCUGAAGGGCUUUGCUGAUGCACACAAUGUGCUUUCUUGGUGUAUCAUUUGACUUUCUUUCUGACAACUUCCUGAAGGCAGCAUCAUUUGGUUUGGGGUGAACAGUGUUUAUCCAUUAAUCUUACUUAGAUAAUAUCAAAAUACCCUCCCACAUUUUCCAGUGAAACAAAAGUUGCAUAAAACAACUGCAGCCUAUUUGGCUGCAGGGAUUAUGGAACCCAAUAAAGGACUUAAACUAUA